rnacentral:rRNA from 1 species
UACGUAGGGGGCAAGCGUUGUCCGGAUUUACUGGGCGUAAAGAGCGCGCAGGCGGUCGUUCAAGUCGAGUGUGAAAGCCCCCGGCUCAACUGGGGAAGGUCACUCGAUACUGAUCGACUCGAAGGCAGAAGAGGGAAGCGGAAUUCCAGGUGUAGCGGUGAAAUGCGUAGAUAUCUGGAGGAACACCGGUGGCGAAGGCGGCAUCCUGGACCGGUAUUGACGCUGAGGCGCGAAAGCUAGGGGAGCAAACGGG